rnacentral:rRNA from 1 species
AGUUUGAUCAUGGCUCAGAAUGAACGCUGGCGGCGUGCUUAACACAUGCAAGUCGGACGAGAAAGGCUGAUUUCGGUUGGCCGAGUAAAGUGGCGCACGGGUGAGUAACGCGUAGGCAACCUACCCUUGUAUUGGGGAUAACCCUGCGAAAGUGGGGCUAAUACCGGAUGAGACCCUAUUCUGGAAGGGAUAGGGUGAAAGUCGGCCGCUCGGAGAAGCUGACGUACGAGGAUGGGCCUGCGUCCUAUCAGCUGGUUGGUGGGGUAGCGGCCUACCAAGGCGACGACGGGUAGCUGGUCUGAGAGGAUGAUCAGCCACACUGGCACUGGAACACGGGCCAGACUCCUACGGGAGGCAGCAGUGAGGAAUUUUGCGCAAUGGCCGCAAGGCUGACGCAGCAACGCCGCGUGGGUGAUGAAGGCCUUCGGGUCGUAAAGCCCUGUCAGGUGGGAAGAAAGGCCUUAAGGAGAAAGACUUGAGGUUUGACGGUACCACCAGAGGAAGCACCGGCUAACUCCGUGCCAGCAGCCGCGGUAAUACGGAGGGUGCGAGCGUU